AUCCUUUUGUAGUUUGUGAGCAUGAUCACGAUUGGGUGUUUCACGUGCGUGUGUGAGAUGUGCCACCCUCGAACCUUGUGUGACAUCAGCACAUUGCCCAGCUGACC
ensembl:snoRNA